UGUCUGAUCUUGGGGGUCUGGGCCUUUAAAGAGGGCAUUAAGCUAAAAGAAUGCUGUUUGGCUGGGAACUUAUAUCAUCAGAGAAGAGUUGAAGAAGCAGAGCUGGCAACUCCAUUGAAAAAGUACUACUGCAAAUGUUGUCCAGCACGAAGACUCGAAUAUCUGCAUAAGGCUAGAGAAAGCUGUCUCUUGUAUAGACUCCAUGUACAGAGGUACAGCUCUUUUAAGAGGUCCUGUUGUACAACUGAGCACUUGAACAGCCAGAACUGGCUACAAAUGCCUGCCACAGAUGGACACAGCAAAUUCCCAGAGCUGAGGAAGCAAGGACUCAGAGAAGGAGACUGAGUGAAGAAGACAGCAUCUGAUAGAGGCAACCCAGGCUCAGGGGAGCCAGAACUUGAUCAGAACUGGGAUAUCUGUGGCAUCUCAAGGGGCCAGGGCAUGGAGCUGAGUCUCAGUUACCCUGGUGAUACAGCAGGAGUAAGACAGCCCUUGCUUCAGUCUUCUAGUUGAGGCUUAGCAGGACUGUGAAGAGUUGAGUGCUUCCUGUGGCCCAUCUCAAGCUACAGUAGAUGUCAUCUCUCCCUGUCAUCAACACAUUGGGCCACACCACAGCUCGGCCAGUCUCUGUCCACUCUGAGCAGAGCACCCAGUGACAGCAGAUGUUGGAAUUGUAUCUAGGAAUUUGAUGCAGACGGAGGAGCAGUGGCUUGGUGUUGUGAGUUGAAAUGCAAGAAUUGGAGUGGCACUUUGGGGAUGGACAAGAGUAACUUUGGUUGUGUCAGAGCACAGGUUUAUUCAAGUUAUACCAUCAUGCCUCCCACUGAUGGUGGUAUUUUUGUUGGUUUGUUUAAGACAGGUUCGGGGCUGGUUUCUGACUCCCUCUGAAGCUAAGGAUGACCUUAAGCUUUUGAACCUCUGGCCUCCACAUCCCUAGUGCUAGGCUUAGAGGUGUGUACCACCAUGCCUGGUGUAUAAUGUGCUGGGGAUGAAAUCCAGCCUAGGCCAGUGAGGUGGAUGGAGGUGGAGAUUCCAGACACUGGCAGUUGAAAGGCAGCAGAAACAGUGAGACUGGAAGCUCUCAAUCUACCUGGGUGUCUGCCAAGCAAGGCACAUGACCCCCAAAACCGCCAGCAUUAGGACGGUGGGUGAGGUUAAUACUGUGUACAUGACUCGUAAACGGCACAGCCAUCCAGCUGCCUCUCCUCAGACUAUGCCUACUCAAAGCCAGGGCACAGAUGAGGUCUGGCAUACCUCCAAGCCCCUUUGCAUUUCUCCUGAAAUAACCUGUCUCCUUUCCUGUAAGUCUUGAAUUGUACAGAGGCACAUUGCAAACUGCAGUGAUUGUCCUCCAGAAUCGAGCUGGAGUCUUAACACAAGCUCUCUACCAACGGAAGCAUCCCCGCCAGCCAGCAUGCUCUUCAAAGCCAACACACCAAAAGCAAACACACAAAACCCUGAGUGGCCAAGCCACCAUGCCCCAGAGUUUUUUUCUUGAGAGGAGGAAGGAAGCCUGCUUGCUGGGGCUCGGAUUCCCUCAAAAUUCCUGUGAUAGAAGAUUUUUUUUUUGAAAGGAUCUCUCUCUGUAGCCCAGGCUAGCCUCCAAUUCUCCAUCUUCCUGUUUCCACCUCCCAGAUGCUGGAAUCACAGGUGUGUAUUUGCAUACCCUGCCUGUGUAGAACCUCAGUUCCAAAGGCCGCAGCACUAAAAUAGGAGGGCCCAUGAAACAUAUUAAGUCAUGAAAGCCCUUCCCCACGAGUGGUAGGAUGGAUAUUAUUACAAAAGACCCUAGCAUAGCCUUAAAAAUGCCAAUCACAUGAUCAGAUUAGGACAGAUUGCAUUGGGUUUCAGAUGAUCACAUGGUACCCCAGAAAUAUGCACGGUCAGUGUAUGCCAUUUAAAGGUGUAGCUAGGUAUUUGAUGAUUGUUAUCUGAAGGUCUGAAACAGAGCUGGCCUCCUGUUCACUACCCAAAUCUUUUAUCUCCACUCCUUUCCAGUGCAGAUGGCAUAGCACGAAGGCCAGACACCAGCACCAGAUUCUUGAACUGCACAGCCUUCAGAACAGUGACCUUCCUCUUCCAGCUUUUCUUGCACAACCAUUUAUUGACUGUGGAUCUCUGGCCUCCAUGGAGUCUCCAAAAUCUCAUUCACUUGUUCAUUCAUUCACAAAACAUUUGUUUACCACCCAUUUUGCCAGAUGAUGUAGUAGGCACUAGGGUUAUAGCUUCCAAAGCAGUUAUAAUCGCCAUAUUACACCUUCUUCAACCAGGACCUUUCCACAAACUGUCUCACUGCCUUAAAUGCCAGUCAUCUCCACCCUGUCCCUUCGGACCUCUAAAAUCCCCUGUUAUUCUCUGCUCUGGAAGCCUUCCAUUUGUCCAUGACACAGGAGAUCGGGUUGUCCAGAGUCCUCUGCACUGUUAUCUGAGCUUCUCAAAUCAGGGCAAUGUCGAAUUGAAUGUGUAUUAGUGAAAGUCCUGCACUUUGCCCCAGGCCCCUUCUAUACCUGGCUAAUUUCAUCCUGGUUAUGGGUCCAAUAGGAUGAGCUUGUCAUGGGUCUAACACCUUUUCAAAGAAGCAACCAGACAAGUCCCUUGGGAAGCGUGGCCCUCUCCAGGUUAUGGCAGGUGGGGAGGAGGCAAACCUGUUUAGAUGCCCAAGUCCCAGGAUCCCCAGAGAUGUUUUGCAUCCUGACUGGGACUGGGUCAUACCAUCAACACUAGACUUCUUUCUUGGUCUCUGAAAACCACUGUAAUUGUGGCAAACAUCCUAUCUUCUGGCAGCUGCAUGUAGAAAAGAACCAGGCCACAGAGAUCUGCAGGUCCCACAACCACUGUGUAUUGGAAAAGGGGAUCAACCAUGUGACAGACUCUGGCUCAGGAAUGAUACAAUGGCCUCAUAAUUUAUGCAUUAUAGGGUCUCCAGGUCCCAGCCCUUUUCUGAAAGCCAGGAAAGAGAGGAGAGGGAAGUUAGGAGAAAGAGAUAUGAGGAAGGGAACAAAAAUGGAGAAAGGAAAGAGAGGUAGAGGCAGACAGAUAGAAGCU